rnacentral:pre_miRNA from 1 species
UUUAAGUCUAACUAUAAGUUUCUAUGCCCAAUUUAGAUGGUUCAUUUUAUUUAAUUAUUAUUAUUAUUAUUAUUAUUAUUAUUAUUAUUAUUAUUAUUAUUAUUAUACGAUAAAACAUGAAUACUAAUUUAUGUGUGACUAAUGUUUUUAUUUUUUUUAAAUAAGACAGACGAUCAAAGUUGGCCACGAAAAAUCAUGGCAUCACCCUAG